rnacentral:lncRNA from 1 species
GCCGCUGAUUGAGCUAUUUUUUGUUUUUUUUUGUUUUCUUUGUGUGUGUGUGUCUACGCCUGCUGCUUAUUGAGCUGUUAUUUUUUUCUCGUGCAUUUGAUUUUAUGUAGUUGUUAUUUGGAAUGUAUAAUGCUAGAUUUGAGGAUGCCUUUGUUAUUUUUGGCUCAAUGUCUUUUUUUUAUUUGUAUGAGAUUUGUUAUAAAAUUUUUGAGUACUCUGUGCUGAUCCUUUGUUUUUUUAGCUCAAUGUGUCUUUCUUUAUUUGUAUGAGAUUUAUUAGAAAUUUUCUAGAGUAUUUUGUCAUGUUUAUUUGUUCCCAGGGUCUCUGUCUCUCUCUCUCUAUGCGUCUGUGUGUGUGUCUUUGUGUGUGUUUCUCUAUUUUUGUGGGGUGUGGGCGGGUGGGUGCUACCUUUUGUGAGAAUAUGAGUGCAUCUCCCUCUGAUUGAUUUAUGUUUUUGGUGAAAUGCGGAUGUAUGAUAUAUUCCAGCUCCCCUAACCAAGAUUCAUGUUGAAGUCUUUUUCUCUGCUACCAUGUCUUCUAAGGCCCCUGAGAUUACCCGCAAGUUCAUGAAUAACAACUUAUUGACCUGUUAGCAAGAACUUAGCAACUACAAGUUCCUAGAUCGGAAUUUGGACUCAGAGUGUCCUUACUCCUUAUUUACCAAAUCUUAGAGUUUACAUGUUUUAAUUUUUAGAUGUGGUGAUUAUUUGAUUUUGUGAGGGAGCAUUAGAAGGUGUUUGUUGAGAUUAGUUUUUUAGUUGUUGCUGUCAUAGUUGUUUGCUAGCUUUGAUUUAUUUGCUAGCUUGAAUUUAUUUCUUGGUAAUUUAUAUGCUUAUUCUUUUGUGGUUUGUUUUCAUGUUUUGUGAUUUCUAUUUUUUUCUUGGUGCAAUUAUACUUUGAAUAUGUUGUGGGUGGGGUGCUGUGGGCCAGUGGGGGCUUUUUCUUUGCCAUUUGUGUUGGUUGGUUGUUUGGAUACCUAUUCAGGACCAGAGGUAGUAGUCUGCUAUUCUUCCACCUAUCUUCUAUGUGGCUAUGGUUCCGUUUUGUUUUAUUUUCUGGGUGUCUUGUAAGUUGCUAUAUGAAUGGGUGACAUUUAGAGCUAUCGCGUUAUUUGUUCUGAAUGGCAGUUAUAUUUAUGUUUCCUUUCUUUGUUGGCUGUAGUGCAGUCCUACAUCGCUAUAUCUGUGGUGGAUGGCUGGAUGCUUGAAUUUUUUUCAAGUAAUUUAUACGCAUGUUCUUUGUCAUAGUUGCUUGAAUCUUUUUUAGGUAAUUUAUAUGCUUGUUCUUUGUGGUAACAGAGAUCUAGGUAUUUUGGAUCAACUAUGUAAUUCUUCACCAAACCAAAGAAUUACAAGGUUUUGCAUGCACUGCAAUCUGCUAUCGAGCACAGUGUGGGUAGCAGCAGCAAAAAGCAGCGCUGCAUUUUUUGUUAUUGGGUUGUGGAUCUUUUUGAUGGAUAUGCCUUGUGUAAUAAAAGUUGACAGAUUUUUUGUUGGAUCAUCUGUCAGUUUUUUUCCUGCUGACGUUUCAGCUUUUCAUUUGUCAAAAAAUUUGACAAAUUUUUGGUAUCAAAAUCUAUCAACAGAUAUUUAGAUAGACCCAAAAAUAAUAAAGGAUAGUUAUCCCGAUUCAUUGAAGUGCACAUGUUGUUUACAGGAAACUAAAGAUAAUAAAGGAUAGUUAUUUCAAUCCACUGGAGCGCACGGCUUGUUUAAAAGAAACUAACGAAGCAUAGAUAAGAAAAGUAGAACAAAGAAUAUAAAAGAACAAAAUAGUAUAUUUCUUUUUUUGUCAAUGUUGGAUGUAACCUCUACCGACCUUAGGAGGUGUUUUGGUGGGAUGUGUUAAAAUUUAAUAGGUACUGUAAUAUUCAUUUUAUUUGACAAUUAGUGUUCAAUCAUAGACUAAUUAGAUUUAAAAGAUUCGUCUCAUAAAUUAUUUUCUUUAUUUAUUUUUAGUUUCAUAAAUAAUAUAUAUAUUUAGUGCUCCAUGCAUGUGUCCAAAUAUUUAAUAUGAUGAGAGUUAAAAAAAUAAGGAGGAAUCAAACAGGACCUUAACCCCAUGUAUAUAGGAUGAUCUAGACUUUGAUCUUACAGAUGACUGCUUCCUCUAUCUGUCCGAUUCCUCAGCAUGUGCAUGCCGCAAUGCGCAUGACAGGCUUGGUCUUUGCAUCGCUAUCUUCCAGCGAACGUGUUUGGUUGAGAAAAUAUCUAGUGCAAACUCAAUUAUAAGUACAAACCUGCAAACUUAGAUCGUGCAUCACUUGAUACCAGAUGUGUGGCGUAUAGAGUCUUAUGGCACAUUUUGUAUCUACCUCCCCACAGUGCCUCUGUGCCUUUUCCAAUGUGAACCCUGAACUAGAGAGAAAAUAUGUUGCCACCUCAAUUUGAAUCGAUUCCUCAUAUGUUCCUUGCAACUGAAGCUUCCUUCCCACCUAAGUUUCCUUUGCUGGUACUGUAGGUACCUGAGUUUCUCCUCUGCUUGACACCCCUCCAUUGAUCUCAUACUUUACCCCAAUUCUAGAAGACCUAGGGAUUCUGUUCUUCUUCAUUGGGGUUGUCCAAGGCAGUGGACGUCUCGCCGACAUCACAAUACAUGAGUUCUGCCUCCUACAUAGCAUCUAUUUACAGUAAGAUACUAAGAUCAUUCCACCUUCACCCAUUAUUGCUACUCUUUG